rnacentral:ncRNA from 1 species
ACUUAUACAGGGUAGCAUAAUGGGCUACUGAACCGCCCCGGGACCAAUCUCGGGACUAUAAGU